CUGAGUCAGAGGCUUUUCAAUGUGUUAAAACCCUUAGACAUUAAGUCAUUUUCUACACUCGUUCUUGAGGUUAAGGUGAUUUUGGAGGGUUUUUCACUGAAUUCUUCUCUAAGAAUUCCAGGUGAGAUUGACCUCUGUUUCUCGUGGCUGACAGUCGUUCUGAGAGUUGCCGUUUAGAGUCUACUAGGUGAGCACGAGGACGUCCGCCACCUUAGAGAUUCUUCCUUUGUCUAUGUCUUAUUUCAUAUCCCGAGACAUAUUCAUACUUUUGAUGUAUUUUGUUGCUUUCUGACUUGUAGUAUCUAGUUAGUUGCUCUUGUAUGGUUAGAUCAGACUCUGGGUGGAUUUGAUGUAAUUCCUUACUUCCACACAUUUCUAUAUGAUUAUCGUCAGACUUUCGU